AUGAACGCUAGCUACAGGCUUAACACAUGCAAGUCGAGGGGCAGCAUGGUCUUAGCUUGCUAAGGCCGAUGGCGACCGGCGCACGGGUGAGUAACACGUAUCCAACCUGCCGUCUACUCUUGGACAGCCUUCUGAAAGGAAGAUUAAUACAAGAUGGCAUCAUGAGUCCGCAUGUUCACAUGAUUAAAGGUAUUCCGGUAGACGAUGGGGAUGCGUUCCAUUAGAUAGUAGGCGGGGUAACGGCCCACCUAGUCUUCGAUGGAUAGGGGUUCUGAGAGGAAGGUCCCCCACAUUGGAACUGAGACACGGUCCAAACUCCUACGGGAGGCAGCAGUGAGGAAUAUUGGUCAAUGGGCGCAGGCCUGAACCAGCCAAGUAGCGUGAAGGAUGACUGCCCUAUGGGUUGUAAACUUCUUUUAUAAAGGAAUAAAGUCGGGUAUGGAUACCCGUUUGCAUGUACUUUAUGAAUAAGGAUCGGCUAACUCCGUGCCAGCAGCCGCGGUAAUACGGAGGAUCCGAGCGUUAUCCGGAUUUAUUGGGUUUAAAGGGAGCGUAGAUGGAUGUUUAAGUCAGUUGUGAAAGUUUGCGGCUCAACCGUAAAAUUGCAGUUGAUACUGGAUAUCUUGAGUGCAGUUGAGGCAGGCGGAAUUCGUGGUGUAGCGGUGAAAUGCUUAGAUAUCACGAAGAACUCCGAUUGCGAAGGCAGCCUGCUAAGCUGCAACUGACAUUGAGGCUCGAAAGUGUGGGUAUCAAACAGGAUUAGAUACCCUGGUAGUCCACACGGUAAACGAUGAAUACUCGCUGUUUGCGAUAUACAGCAAGCGGCCAAGCGAAAGCGUUAAGUAUUCCACCUGGGGAGUACGCCGGCAACGGUGAAACUCAAAGGAAUUGACGGGGGCCCGCACAAGCGGAGGAACAUGUGGUUUAAUUCGAUGAUACGCGAGGAACCUUACCCGGGCUUAAAUUGCAGAUGAAUUACGGUGAAAGCCGUAAGCCGCAAGGCAUCUGUGAAGGUGCUGCAUGGUUGUCGUCAGCUCGUGCCGUGAGGUGUCGGCUUAAGUGCCAUAACGAGCGCAACCCUUGUUGUCAGUUACUAACAGGUUCCGCUGAGGACUCUGACAAGACUGCCAUCGUAAGAUGUGAGGAAGGUGGGGAUGACGUCAAAUCAGCACGGCCCUUACGUCCGGGGCUACACACGUGUUACAAUGGGGGGGUACAGAGGGCCGCUACCACGCGAGUGGAUGGCAAUCCCAAAAACCUCUCUCAGUUCGGACUGGAGUCUGCAACCCGACUCCACGAAGCUGGAUUCGCUAGUAAUCGCGCAUCAGCCACGGCGCGGUGAAUACGUUCCCGGGCCUUGUACACACCGCCCGUCAAGCCAUGGGAGCCGGGGGUACCUGAAGUGCGUAACCGCGAGGAGCGCCCUAGGGUAAAACUGGUGACUGGGGCU
rnacentral:rRNA from 1 species